GGGUUGUGAGGUUAAGCGACUAAGCGUACACGGUGGAUGCCCUGGCAGUCAGAGGCGAUGAAGGACGUGCUAAUCUGCGAUAAGCGUCGGUAAGGUGAUAUGAACCGUUAUAACCGGCGAUUUCCGAAUGGGGAAACCCAGUGUGUUUCGACACACUAUCAUUAACUGAAUCCAUAGGUUAAUGAGGCGAACCGGGGGAACUGAAACAUCUAAGUACCCCGAGGAAAAGAAAUCAACCGAGAUUCCCCCAGUAGCGGCGAGCGAACGGGGAGCAGCCCAGAGCCUGAAUCAGUGUGUGUGUUAGUGGAAGCGUCUGGAAAGGCGCGCGAUACAGGGUGACAGCCCCGUACACAAAAAUGCACAUGCUGUGAGCUCGAUGAGUAGGGCGGGACACGUGGUAUCCUGUCUGAAUAUGGGGGGACCAUCCUCCAAGGCUAAAUACUCCUGACUGACCGAUAGUGAACCAGUACCGUGAGGGAAAGGCGAAAAGAACCCCGGCGAGGGGAGUGAAAAAGAACCUGAAACCGUGUACGUACAAGCAGUGGGAGCACGCUUAGGCGUGUGACUGCGUACCUUUUGUAUAAUGGGUCAGCGACUUAUAUUCUGUAGCAAGGUUAACCGAAUAGGGGAGCCGAAGGGAAACCGAGUCUUAACUGGGCGUUAAGUUGCAGGGUAUAGACCCGAAACCCGGUGAUCUAGCCAUGGGCAGGUUGAAGGUUGGGUAACACUAACUGGAGGACCGAACCGACUAAUGUUGAAAAAUUAGCGGAUGACUUGUGGCUGGGGGUGAAAGGCCAAUCAAACCGGGAGAUAGCUGGUUCUCCCCGAAAGCUAUUUAGGUAGCGCCUCGUGAAUUCAUCUCCGGGGGUAGAGCACUGUUUCGGCAAGGGGGUCAUCCCGACUUACCAACCCGAUGCAAACUGCGAAUACCGGAGAAUGUUAUCACGGGAGACACACGGCGGGUGCUAACGUCCGUCGUGAAGAGGGAAACAACCCAGACCGCCAGCUAAGGUCCCAAAGUCAUGGUUAAGUGGGAAACGAUGUGGGAAGGCCCAGACAGCCAGGAUGUUGGCUUAGAAGCAGCCAUCAUUUAAAGAAAGCGUAAUAGCUCACUGGUCGAGUCGGCCUGCGCGGAAGAUGUAACGGGGCUAAACCAUGCACCGAAGCUGCGGCAGCGACGCUUAUGCGUUGUUGGGUAGGGGAGCGUUCUGUAAGCCUGUGAAGGUGUGCUGUGAGGCAUGCUGGAGGUAUCAGAAGUGCGAAUGCUGACAUAAGUAACGAUAAAGCGGGUGAAAAGCCCGCUCGCCGGAAGACCAAGGGUUCCUGUCCAACGUUAAUCGGGGCAGGGUGAGUCGACCCCUAAGGCGAGGCCGAAAGGCGUAGUCGAUGGGAAACAGGUUAAUAUUCCUGUACUUGGUGUUACUGCGAAGGGGGGACGGAGAAGGCUAUGUUGGCCGGGCGACGGUUGUCCCGGUUUAAGCGUGUAGGCUGGUUUUCCAGGCAAAUCCGGAAAAUCAAGGCUGAGGCGUGAUGACGAGGCACUACGGUGCUGAAGCAACAAAUGCCCUGCUUCCAGGAAAAGCCUCUAAGCAUCAGGUAACAUCAAAUCGUACCCCAAACCGACACAGGUGGUCAGGUAGAGAAUACCAAGGCGCUUGAGAGAACUCGGGUGAAGGAACUAGGCAAAAUGGUGCCGUAACUUCGGGAGAAGGCACGCUGAUAUGUAGGUGAAGUCCCUCGCGGAUGGAGCUGAAAUCAGUCGAAGAUACCAGCUGGCUGCAACUGUUUAUUAAAAACACAGCACUGUGCAAACACGAAAGUGGACGUAUACGGUGUGACGCCUGCCCGGUGCCGGAAGGUUAAUUGAUGGGGUUAGCGGUAACGCGAAGCUCUUGAUCGAAGCCCCGGUAAACGGCGGCCGUAACUAUAACGGUCCUAAGGUAGCGAAAUUCCUUGUCGGGUAAGUUCCGACCUGCACGAAUGGCGUAAUGAUGGCCAGGCUGUCUCCACCCGAGACUCAGUGAAAUUGAACUCGCUGUGAAGAUGCAGUGUACCCGCGGCAAGACGGAAAGACCCCGUGAACCUUUACUAUAGCUUGACACUGAACAUUGAGCCUUGAUGUGUAGGAUAGGUGGGAGGCUUAGAAGUGUGGACGCCAGUCUGCAUGGAGCCGACCUUGAAAUACCACCCUUUAAUGUUUGAUGUUCUAACGUUGACCCGUAAUCCGGGUUGCGGACAGUGUCUGGUGGGUAGUUUGACUGGGGCGGUCUCCUCCUAAAGAGUAACGGAGGAGCACGAAGGUUGGCUAAUCCUGGUCGGACAUCAGGAGGUUAGUGCAAUGGCAUAAGCCAGCUUGACUGCGAGCGUGACGGCGCGAGCAGGUGCGAAAGCAGGUCAUAGUGAUCCGGUGGUUCUGAAUGGAAGGGCCAUCGCUCAACGGAUAAAAGGUACUCCGGGGAUAACAGGCUGAUACCGCCCAAGAGUUCAUAUCGACGGCGGUGUUUGGCACCUCGAUGUCGGCUCAUCACAUCCUGGGGCUGAAGUAGGUCCCAAGGGUAUGGCUGUUCGCCAUUUAAAGUGGUACGCGAGCUGGGUUUAGAACGUCGUGAGACAGUUCGGUCCCUAUCUGCCGUGGGCGCUGGAGAACUGAGGGGGGCUGCUCCUAGUACGAGAGGACCGGAGUGGACGCAUCACUGGUGUU
rnacentral:rRNA from 1 species